rnacentral:ncRNA from 1 species
AUAUCAUUUUGAGGAAUUCUAACAGAAGUUUCUAUUGGUAGUGUAAGUUGGGCAAAGUGUCUUAUUUUUUAGUAUUUCAAAGUAAAAUUACAUGUUAAUACGUAGUAUUAAUGGCGAGACUCCUGAGGGAGCAGUGCCAGUCGAAGACAGGGGCCCCAACACAGAAGCUGACAUAUAGUCAGCUUACAACAAUGUGCCGGUUGGGGUGGCUGAGACGGCACCCUAGGAAGGGACCCGUCAUCAAAAAUUCUAUUUAUAGAAUUUUACAGUAAUGUGCCAGACGGGCAAAGCGAAGCCAUUCAAUACGAAGUAUUGUAUAAAUAGAGAACAGCAG